UGUCCAGGCAUGGGAAUCGAACCCACAGUGUUCCACUUACUGGACAGAUGCCAUGUCUACUAGGCCACUGUCCAUGAC